rnacentral:lncRNA from 1 species
UUCCACUCUUACUCUGAAUGACUUAGUCACUGCAUGCUCAGGCUUCCCGCUGCCUGUGGGGAUUUUGGGGAAUUUGUGAUGACAGCACCUCUCCCUCUGCGGAGGUGUUGCCUUAAAUUUCCAAGGAGAAGAGGCAAAGGAGACGCUCACGAAAGCUGAGCGCGUCCACACGCACGUUUCUUGGUUUUAAUGGGACCUUAGACACUUUGCACUCUCCUCAUCAUGACCGUGACGGCCGUUGGACUUACUAGCAUGUUCUGAACUACACUGAGGAUGGUCGGCACAAAGUGCUAAUUAGCACAGAGGAACCAGUUCAGUCCAAAUGGUGGAACAUGAUGAACAUGGCAGUUUCUGGCAUCUUACAAAAACUCUUCUGGAUAUUCCUUAUGGCUAGUUUCAAGCUGUAGAUUGAAACAUGGAAGAUCAACCCGUGAUGACUUUAGAAGGACAGAGGUCAUUAGCUUUGCAAGAUGCUCCCAAAAUGACUUUAUCAGUAGAGCUUUCAAUGGCAAAUUCAACCAUGGAUAGAAACCUGACCUUAAAAGAUACUUCUGAUUCACUAUCAUCUGUUAUAGAUGAGCCUUUAAAAGACCAAUCACAAUUUGAGCUGAAGAAUAAAAGUUCAUUAGUGAAGAUCAGUCAAAUUGUACCAGUGCUCGUCAGCAAAGAUGGACCUUGUCUUCAAAUCUCGAAUCAUCUCACAAAACAAAAGACAAUGAAAUACAUUGAACAUCAAAUCACUUCCGCUCCAAUAUCAACCUCAAAACUUGAUCUAAAUGGCAUUUAUUGUGAACCUGACCUCCAAAUGGAUGCUGAGACCGGAUUCAGCUAUUUGUUGACUCCCUCAGAUAGUCCAGUGACCAACAGCAUUGAUGUAGACUCCUCAAACACCUCAUCUACUACUUAUAGUUUCUCUAAUUUGACAGUCAGACCCAUAUCAGAACCAGCUUACUCUUAUGCAUCCUCUCCAGUGGGACCGUCCCACCUUGAGCACCCUUACUCGGCUCCUUCACCAGUCACCAAGGGAGCCGAUCUACCCCGAAUCAUCAAGCACAAGCCUAGCUCCAUUACCUUUGCAGAUUACGACAGCUUUUUGGGUCUAAUCUCGAACACCCGAGCCAAUGAGAGUUCAGAUGCUUGUGAGACCUCUUCUGAAGAUGAUGACGAUGAUGUGUUUCCCAAGUGCAAAGAAUUUCUCCAAAGCUCCAGACAAAACGGUGGUGGACUGGAGAAACAAAGAAGGAAAGGUACCCGUGGACAAACACAUGGAGAAGGAAGUUCCAGCACCAAGCUGCCACCCACCAGAAGCAGCAGCUAUGAGGUGGAGGAGGAGAGCAGCAGUACAGAGGAGUCUCAUCAGGUCCUGUCUCCCUGGUCUGAAUCUAUGAUCCAGCUAAUGAAGAGAUUAGAUCAGCUCAAUCUGGACAUAGAAGAAGCUCUCAGCGCCGGCUCUUCCCCCUCCGACACACCCAACACUGCCCGGAGACACACCACUAAUGAUAGAGCAUCCCUGCAGAGCGGAGCUGCGGGGGUGAACCAGUCCCUCAACUGGAACAACAUGGCCAGAAGAACCGACACAAGGGAAUGGCACAGCCAAGAAAGACUUGCGGGAGCCACUUCCUCUCUGGGGAGAUCACAUGGUAAAAAAACAGAGGUGAGCGUUUG